GACAGAGGUGCCGAGCGUUAGGCGGAAUCACUGGGCUUAAAGCGUGUGUAGGCGGGCCGUUAAGUGCCUUGUGAAAUCCCCCGGCUCAACCGGGGAACGGCUGGGCAUACUGGCGGCCUUGAGUCACUCAGGGGUCAGCGGAACAAACGGUGGAGCGGUGAAAUGCGUAGAGAUCGGAAAGAACACCAACGGCGAAAGCACUCUGCUGGGCCGACACUGACACUGAGAGACGAAAGCUAGGGGAGCGAAUGGG
rnacentral:rRNA from 1 species